UUAUAUAACUCCUCAAAGGAA
ensembl:piRNA 21ur-13045 ncRNA